AGGCAACGGAGCGACAGCAGUCGAUAUGUAGCGAAGCAUAGCACUGACAGUAGAAGCAGAGGAACAGCAGCAAUAGUUUGCUGGCAGCGUGGUAUGUGAAUUGUGUUGGAUCAACCUGAAAUUGAAGUGAAGAAAAGUACAAAAUAACCAGGAAGUGUUUAGUCAAAUGCUGCAAAUUGAGGGAGUGUAGCAAUUUGAGAUAAAAACCUACAGAAAACUGCGAAGCUAACAAAAAAGAUAACGGAACGCAGUAACAAGAAAAUUCAAAUUGCAUGCGUAUGAAUAUUAAAAAUUGCAACGUCCAACAUCUAUAAAAACAUACAUACACUCAUACAUAUGUACGCAGCAUGUGUGAAUGGUAUUCAAAGCGGAUUUAAAAACGAAACGUGUAUCACAAAACGGCAUAUUUAAAGUUUGAAAAAAACAAAAGAAAAAAAAACAGCAACAAAACACACUAACAGCUUAAAUGUUUUAAACUGCAAUCGAUUGCAUGCAUUGUGAGUACAGGAAGUACAUACAUACAUACACGUACGUAAAUACAGACUGUAAUGUGUUUAGUCAACAAAAACAUAAAAAUUUAAAAAGUGAGUUAAUUUGAAUUUGUGGAAACACAUUAAAGUGUUUGAAUUGCAAUUUUAACGCAGCGAGUGUAAGUUUUUUGAUAAAAGAAAAAUAUAAAAUCAAAAAAGGAAAAAAAAAAUAAGGGUAACAAAAAAGUUAAAAUUUAAAAUUAUAUACAAAAGUGAUUUUAAUAAACGCUAACGCUGUAUUACUUGCACACAAAUCUAGUAAUAGCCAGCGAUUGUUUAGUGCAAAAAAAAAAAAAACAAAACAAAAAAAGAAACUACAUUUGUAGCUAACAAUUUUUAAACGAAUAACAGACUAAUGGCAAGUACUUUUAAUACAAAUUUGAUAAAUGCGCUUCGAAUGAAAAUCAAAUGAAGUAAUUUAACAAGUGGAAAUUCUGUAACAGCAGCAGCAACAGUUUAUAUUGGUUUGCGAUUAAUAAAAGAUUAACUGUUACAUAAUUUUGUAAGUAUUUCAAUUCAGCAAUAAACAGAUGCACUUGUCUAUUAUCAUAUAACUUGCGUUGAUGUGAUCUGCCUAUUAACAUUUACUCUGACAGUCGAGCUGCUUUGAAAUCUCUAGGUAGCUAUCGAAUAAAAUACAUGGCAGAGUUCUCUAUGAACUGGUUUCGUUUUGCACCACAAACACAAUGUAGGCUGCUGGUCGCAGAUACAAUUCUGAACACUGCACCGUGAACGAAUUAACGAGGAAGAAGGUGUAGCUAUUAUUGGUAAACUCUAGCAAAGGAUAGGCAUUCCAUUAACUUCUUAUAACCACCGGCUGAGAUUAAUUUUCAUUGGAAAAGCAAAAAGUAGAUGGCCUGCUGAGUCUACCUGUCUGAAAACUCGGAAAAUCUGACUUAAAAUGCGUGAAAAAGGGCCCGUUCACUAAUGCAUCGCUAAUACUUGGAAAAUAUGUCGAGGAAUAUCGCAAACAUUAUUCACCGUGGCUGUAUUAGAUACCUCAAAGGAAUUAUUAUUUAUUCUCCACAUAACAAAUGCGCUACUUUUUUUUAUGUUGUAUGAAGAAAAUGCGCAGUGAUGACAAGGAAAAA